GCAGGGCCUGGCCAGAGACCGAGUGAGCCGAGCUGCAGCCCGGGGAGGGGAGCUGUCAUCGCUUGUGGAGCAGCAAGAGGGGUCGGUCAGAGGUAUUUGGAAGUAUUACCAAGUACCUUCAGUGAAAACUAGUAAAAGAGCCAGGACUAAGAUGUUUCUGGUUGAUGUGAGCCCCUAACACAAACUAGAAACAUCUAACAUGGGUUAUAAGACAGUCAUCAGCUCAAGAGCUGCAGGGAUUUCAGUCUGAUAUCACAGCAGGACACUGUGGGUGGACAGAAGAAUCAGAUGAAUCAAUGUGAAGGAACAACUGGGGUGCACAGAAGAAAGAAAAGGAAUCAAAAGGAAAAUGGCACUCCAGGCUGUCUGUCAUGCAAAUUUUUCUAUAGCCUGUCUCCUCUUCAAUAUGCUAUUUUCCUGUCAGAUAUCCCUUGACACAGGGAAGCAUGGGGAAGAAGACCGUGAGUGGUACAGAAGGUCACACUGUGUGGUCAGUCACCACCAUCCCAGAAGCAAGAAGGACCCUUUGAGGGCAGCCUUGCUGAUCCCAACAGCUGAAAGAGAAGGUACUAAAAAAGGACUUUGUGACCUGAUGAAGCAUCAUGCAACAGGUUCUCUAAAUCCUCAGAUAGCUGAUUUAUUUCAUUUGAGCAUGCUUUCAUUGAGGACACAAGACUUUCCUUUUCCAAAUAUGUGUUUCUACUCCACAUUGAGAUCAAAAAGGCCAAAAGUUACCUUAGACUGGAAGACAUGUCCAUGCCAUUGUGAUAUUUACAAGAUCCUUUGAAGCCUUGCCUCAAAGGAGUCUUUGACAAGAAGAAACUGUGCUGAUUCUCACCUACUGAGGCAGUGAUAACAAAGGAUCCAGAGCCUACAAAUCGGUAAACAAUGGCUGGAGUGAGUUUAAAAGCAUUUGAGAAAAAAAAAUUAUGUUGCUGUGGUUCCUGAGCAUAUGUGAAAGAAUGGAUUCCAAUUGAAUAUGCAUUUUUUUCCAGUAAUUCACAGGGUGGGACAAUUUGCCCUUGGAGCUCUUUGGAGGAAAAAAAAAAUAUUUGUACAUAGAAGUGCACUUGGACUCGGAAGAAAUCAAAGCCUUUUCAUCACACUCCCCUGCUUCCACCACAGUUGUCUAGCAUAACUCAACAGGGGUGCUCCUUGGGGCACUAAAGAAAUUGGAUGUUUUUACACUGUUCUGCACAUCACAUCAUAAGAACCAUGAGUAAAGGAAAUAAAAUCUCCUUGUUCCUAUUCUCUGCUACACUGAUGGAGAGCAGCAUCUGAGAGGUGGGUUUGGCUCCCUAAUUCUCACUUUUUGUAAUGUAAAGAAGCAUAGGGCUUCUGGUACUAGCUUAGACUAAAAUACAUAAUGGGACACAAGCUGUGCAGCUUAUAGCCAUAUGCGCCUAGAAAAUUUGAAACAUCUUCUUUCCCUUCAGAAGCAGGAGAGCAUCAACCACUGUAUGGUUUAUUGGCUUCAGGCUGGCAUGGACUGCUGCUACUUGUUCAACUGAUAUUCAAUUCUAGACCUCAGGCUAUCUCAACCCCACUCUUUCAUGUUCACUAAAGAAAGGAGUUUGUAUGCUGCACAGUUUGGACCAGUAAAUUUAUUUGUUGUUAGUGCAACAUCUUUCAGCAUUUGUGCUAAAUUAAGCUUUGGCUGAGUUACCAAAGACAACAGGAACCCAUAACCCUCUGUGGACCUGCAUUGCUUUGCAGAAAUCUGUGAGAAAAAAUGAAAAGCAAAAGGAUUACUUUGCAACAUUUCACUAGUAUGAUGUUAAACUUCCUCUAAGUUGUGUUUUCAUAAUUAAGGGGGUAGGACUAAAACAGUAGAAAAUUUACCAAGUCUCACUUAGAUGUUCACUUUAGAAAUGUGGUGCAUUAAAAAGCUAUUUUCCUUGGAUUGUUUGCUAUAGCUCUUUCCCAGAACUUAAAACAAAGGGAUGAAGAGGACCUUUCCAGUGUUCAUUAUUACUCUCAGGACAAUUAGAACUGUAUUGACAUUACCAUGUUGUAGAGGUCUCCCUGAAAAGGAAGCUGAGCAUGAUUCCCAGUACUUCUGGAUUAGGAACUGAACUCUCACUUUGGGCAAUAGGAUUUUAACCAUUGUACCAAUUGACUCAGUAGGGAUCUGUC